rnacentral:lncRNA from 1 species
CAACUACAUCUUUCUCAUGCACAUCAGCUCAUCCUGGAGGACCUUCUCAAACUAUGUUUUCUUUAGAGGAGGUUGAACAAAUAUUAGAGCAAAACCGAAUCAAAAUGAAACAAGACAUGGAGCAAAUGCAAGAGCAAAUGCAAGAGCAAAUGCGAGUGCAGAUAGAAAAACAGAUAAAAGAUCAAAUGAAAUCAUUGAAGAACAAAAAUAUAUCUUCACCGCAUAACACAACUGCAGAUUCAGAUGGUUCAACAAAUUCAUAGAUUAGUUUUAAAUUUUAUAAAUAUUGUUAAGUAUUAUGGAUUUCUUUUUAAUUUUAUGAACAUUGU